rnacentral:rRNA from 1 species
UACGGAGGGGACUAGCGUUGUUCGGAAUUACUGGGCGUAAAGCGCACGUAGGCGGAUUUGUAAGUCAGGGGUGAAAUCCCGGGGCUCAACCUCGGAACUGCCUUUGAUACUGAAGAUCUUGAGUUCGGGAGAGGUGAGUGGAACUGCGAGUGUAGAGGUGAAAUUCGUAGAUAUUCGCAAGAACACCAGUGGCGAAGGCGGCUCACUGGCCCGAUACUGACGCUGAGGCACGAAAGCGUGGGGAGCAAACAGG